rnacentral:rRNA from 1 species
AUUGAACGCUGGCGGCAGGCCUAACACAUGCAAGUCGAACGGUAACAGGAAGCAGCUUGCUGCUUUGCUGACGAGUGGCGGACGGGUGAGUAAUGUCUGGGAAACUGCCUGAUGGAGGGGGAUAACUACUGAAACGGUAGCUAAUACCGCAUAACGUCGCAAGACCAAAGAGGGGGACCUUAGGGCCUCUUGCCAUCGGAUGUGCCCAGAUGGGAUUAGCUAGUAGGUGGGGUAACGGCUCACCUAGGCGACGAUCCCUAGCUGGUCUGAGAGGAUGACCAGCCACACUGGAACUGAGACACGGUCCAGACUCCUACGGGAGGCAGCAGUGGGGAAUAUUGCACAAUGGGCGCAAGCCUGAUGCAGCCAUGCCGCGGGUAUGAAGAAGGCCUUCGGGUUGUAAAGUACUUUCAGCGGGGAGGAAGGGAGUAAAGUUAAUACCUUUGCUCAUUGACGUUACCCGCAGAAGAAGCACCGGCUAACUCCGU